CGCCUAUUUCCCAUUUGAAGAAGGUGUGUUUUCUGAUCGGCUUCUGACAUUAAAAGGGAAUGGGGAUGUGCUACUCAUGCAGUAAGCCAAUGCCUAGUGAGAUGGAAGAAAGAGAAUCAUAUCCACGGACUUGAAAUCAGCUCACCAGGACUAACGGCUCACUGGAGUGUGCGAGUGUUGUAAAGUUUCCAAAACCCGUCGUUGAGAACCCUGGAAAGUUCACCGAAGAGUAUGCCUUCCUCAUUACCAAGCUACUUCUGCAUCUGCGAUUAGACGGAGAACAUCUUUAAUUGCUUUAAAAUCUGAAUGCAUGAUAAGAAUGGAUUAAUUUGAUUUUUCUGUUUCUACAAGUAGCAGAUGGUUUAUGUCUUCGUAAUGCUCAUGUUGUAAAAUGAGAUCCCCAGCUUGUCUGUGAUUGGUCACUGUUAAUGAAGCAUACUGUGCUGAUUAUUGAUUUAGAAAAUGAGGAUGACAUGAGUAUUGUGUGUUGCUGUAAUAAAUUAAAGAUUAUGCUUUUUUUAAUAGCCGGCAGAAAAACAACUUAAAUAACAUAAAUAUUAGAUUUUCCAUUCAGGUGGUCUCUGGCCCGUCAAAGUAAAUGUAUUAUUUAUAAAAAA